GUGGACUCUGUCUACAGCCACAUCUAUAUUACUUUCAUCUAUGCCUAUGUCAUAGAAUUCAGCCCAUUUGUCACAUCAAACACAACUCUUACUAAAGUAGACCUGGCAAUUGAGUUCAAUGACCGUGCUGCACCUGGAGAAACCCCACAGGCUAGCGAUGUCGCAACAGCUUUAGCAAGUGCUGUGUCCAAUCCCAACAACACCUUCAAUCUCACUGUUGUGUCCACUUCCAUUCAAGUAGUUGUACUGAAUGGGACGACAAGUCCAACAACUGAAGCCCCCGUCGUCACAACUACAGAAACCACUGAACAAACAACUGCCAGUGCUACACCUGCUUCAACAGCAGAGACGACAGCAGCUAAUUUCAACACUUCAGGGACCACAACAAUUUUCCUUCUCUCAGCUGUCCUGAAUACAGCAUAUGAAUCACAACUCAAUGACAACAACAGCGUUCAGUUCCAGAAUCUCCAAAGAGAAGUUGUACGAAUUGUGAGUACAAUGUCAAAACGGACAAAUGGCUUUAUAUUUGCCAAGUGGAUGACUUCAACAUGAAAAUCUUGACUAUUGAAUGUAAAUAGUGAAACAUUUUAAUAUGUUUCUAAUUUCCUGUCUGCUUUCCUCCCUCAGGUGGACUCUGUCUACAGCCACAUCUAUAUUACUUUCAUCUAUGCCUAUGUCAUAGAAUUCAGGUAAGACUUUGAGUUCUUGCCCUUGAAUGACUUUGGUUUUCUCUCUUUGUGCUAUUCACCACUAUCAUAAGUGAUUUAUUGCAAAGGAACCCAGUUCAUGGAUCAGUUGCACAUAUGAUUCACGACUAUCAAUAUGACGUCAUUGAAAUGUUCUUCUGUUUUGUGCAGCCCAUUUGUCACAUCAAACACAACUCUUACUAAAGUAGACCUGGCAAUUGAGUUCAAUGACCGUGCUGCACCUGGAGAAACCCCACAGGCUAGCGAUGUCGCAACAGCUUUAGCAAGUGCUGUGUCCAAUCCCAACAACACCUUCAAUCUCACUGUUGUGUCCACUUCCAUUCAAGCAGUUGUACUGAAAGUGAUGUCAAGUCCAACAACUGUAGCCCCCAUCGUCACUACUGCAGACACCACUCAACAAACAUCCCACAGUGCUACACCUGCUUCAACAACAGAGAAUAGGGUGACAACAACAGAGUCAGACAUUACGACUCCCACUACUACAACUCAUUCUCCUCCUCCUGCCACUACUACUACUAGUACUACUACUACUACUACUACUACUACUACUACCAGCACUACAACCCUGGCUCCCCCAGCAGUUAUAGUUGUCACAGCAGUUUUGGUUGUACCAUUUACACCACAACUCUCUGACAGAAACAGCAUUGGAUUUAAGACUCUGGAAGUACAGGUUGUUACAAUUUGGAAUGUCAUUCUAAGGUCCAGAUAUGGUGCUUCAUUUCUAGGUUCAUAUGUCAUACAAUUUAGAGAAGCUGUUACCACAACCAAAUCAGCUAAUACUGAAGCAGAUGUGGGAGUUAACUUCUCUAACAGAGUAGACCAGGUCCCACCCGCUGUUGAUGUGGCAAACCUAUUAGUAAUGUCUUUGUCCAACCCCAACAACACCUACAACCUUACUGUUGUUCCCUCAUCUGUCCAAGCACUUUAUUUAAAUGCAACAUCAAACGCAACAACAGUAUCACCUACACUGAACAGUGCAACUGGUGUAACAUCAACUGCGACAACAGUGCCACCUACAUUGAACAGCACCACAAGCAUACAAGUGUAUACAGCCACCAGUGGUACAUCUGGAACUAUGAGUCCUACUGCCUCUGCUGAAGCACUUACUACAAAGAAUCUUGUUUUCAGAUCUAAGGAAACAUUUACUAGUGACUUAAAUAAUCCAUCAUCUGUAGCAUAUAGAAAUCGAGCCUCACUGAUAACAACAACACUUACUCCUUUCUACAACAAAGCAUUUGAUUCCUUUAAGUCCAUCCAAGUGACUGAUUUCAGUAAUGGUUCCAUUUACAACAGACUAUUACUCCGUUUUGCAUCUGCAUCUGUUCCUAAUGACACUGCAAUUGGAGAAGUUUUGAUCAAAGCAGCUUCAAACAUCACUUCCUUUAACAUUGACAUCACAUACAUUUUUGUGGAUAACACUCAAGUGUCAAGUGGAAUAAGCCAGAGGGUCAGCAUCAUUACUGCAUCCUGCCUGGUGCUUCUGUCGUGGCUGCUAUCAAAUCAACAAUAGUGUCAAUGCUCAUGUUCAUCUCAGAUCGCAAUUAAGAAACUGACAUGAAAAAAAAGUUAUGUUGCUAUAUGUGAAACCUAUAAAUGAAGAAACCCACAAACACCACAAACUGAACUAUCAUCAUCAUCAUAAUACUGCAAUUAUGUUAUUUAAAAUAUAGUUAUCAUUAUUCAUGUUAAACUUUGUUGUGUUAUACUUAAUUGCCUGUAAGAGAUGCUUUUAUAUAAAAAAAAGCAGUCCAGUAAUAAAAAUGUGAAGAUAGGUUACA
ensembl:lncRNA mucin-2-like